UCCUGUUCAUUUGUGCGCUGCUUGGUUUGUAACUCUCUUGUUAAAUGUAAAGUUUUCCCUGUGAGGUCGGUGUUGGGGACAUUGGGCCGAGUCGGUGAGCUGACGUCACACUUCCUGUUAGCUCUGACGUCACACUGACGUCGGCGUUGUUUUCCACCACUCUGUGUGUUUUUAUUGUUCAUGGUGUUUAAAGUAUUACAUAAGCAGAGCCACGAAUGAGCUCAAAUGAAGCCUGAAGAAGAAGAAGCAGCGAGCAGCUCUUGGUGAAGCUAGCGCAGCCAUCUGGCUCAGGACCGUGUGAUGGAGGUGGAGCUAAACUAUGGAGGCAUUUCUUCUGGACUCACAGUUUGACAUAAGUUAAAUGGAGGUUUCUGAAGACGACCCUGGACCUCUGGAUCAUCAGCCUCUGGAGGACCACUGACCAGAUCUGACCUCACCCAAUAUUACUGUCUAUAAAGGCGACGUUCAAACCAUGUGGCUGCAUCACUGAGGCCUGACAACAUAUGGGAAUGUGUUUUACUAAAGUUUCUCUGAUGCUGUGCACAGGUGGAUUAUCUACAUGCGCACAGAAGACGAACAGUGUGGCUGCUGGUGAUUCUGUGGAGAGGCGUGGAGGAGACGCCGACUCUAACAGACGUUCACGUGUGGAUCAGAAUAAUCAGUUAGAUGGAGAAGGCAGGAGCAAGACUGGAGACCAUGAUGAUGGUGAGUGAUACUGAUGCAGUGAUUUGUAUUAUAGUCAGCUUUGUUUUAAAACACCUGUCCCACAGUAAGUGUGACUGAUAGACACAAUCGUUACUGUGUGU